UACGGGGGGGGCAAGCGUUAAUCGGAAUUACUGGGCGUAAAGCGUGCGCAGGCGGUUCGUUAAGUCAGAUGUGAAAGCCCCGGGCUCAACCUGGGAACUGCAUUUGAAACUGGCGGGCUUGAGUAUGGCAGAGGGGGGUGGAAUUCCGCGUGUAGCAGUGAAAUGCGUAGAGAUGCGGAGGAACACCGAUGGCGAAGGCAGCCCCCUGGGCCAAUACUGACGCUCAUGCACGAAAGCGUGGGGAGCAAACAGG
rnacentral:rRNA from 1 species